UCUUUGUACCAAUUAUGAAUUGAUACUGGUUUUGGAACUUUAUCUUCCUUUUAAUCUGAGUAACAAUUUGGACAAGCUAGUCAAAGCAUAAUUUUAUACAUAACUUAUAUUUUUAUAAUUUUAAUUCUGUAUAGUUUCCUUUGAAUAAAUACUGAGAAGCAGUCAGAUUUCACUUAAGUCACUGGAGUUCAGGAUUCCUUCAGAUUUUUAUUCCAGAUAACCUCCCCCCUCAACAAAACCCAAGCAAAUAAUCCUCUGUAGAAGUUGCAGACAGUGUUCUCAUUGAUCAGAUCUGAAAGCACAAUCUAGGAUUUGCUUUCAUCUUGCUCUGUAGUUAAGAAGUGUUCACUACUCCUGAUGCUUUUAUUCUUCAUAGGUGGUUUUAUUCUCCCUUUUUCUCUUUCUCUUCUGUUUCACACUGCUUGUGAAACUCUAUAAAUUGUGUGUAUGAAGUGAGCAGGGGUUUAAAAAAUGCAGCCAAAAUCAGGCAACAACAAUGAAAAACUCCCCAAAACAACACACCAAAACAAAACAAGAAAAAACAACACAGGAAACAAGGAAACCUUUUGAAUGAAUGACAGGGAAACUGGAGGGAACCUGUUAAAGUGGAUUUGUGACUGAAAGAAUAGCAGCCUGGAAUUAGGGUCUGAAAAUUAAGUCAGCAAUCAAAUUUCUCUGGUUGAGAACUCUGCCAUUCUGGGACUUACAGCACUAGUAAAAAUAGUAAACAGCUGUAUUUCUCUUGAGUAUGUGGCCUUAUAUGCAUGUGUACUUUUUGAAAACUUGUUUGACAAACUCAGGUAUUGGUUAAAUGCUCAACCCUUGCAAGAACACCACCCAUAUCUUAAAUUUAUAGAUUGGUAUUUAUGUCUUUAUAAAUCUUAAGAGUUUGGCUAAUUGUUAACAACAAUUCAUUAUAACUUCGGUAUAACUGUAUCCACAUAACUAUGGAUAUAAAAGGUAAGUUUAAACAGUAAAAAUGACAGUACUAAUCUGUCUUGAAUUAAAACUCUUUUCCUUGUAUUUCUGUUUGUCAUACUGACAUACAAUGAAAAUGUACAAUGCUUAUAUGUAAACUUGAGCAACGUUUUGCCUGGCUACUUCAGUGAGGCUGUAGAUACUGGAUUCGUCUUACCUUCUCUAUGCAAGAUACCCAUUGGUGUCUUAAUCUGGAUUGAUUAAAUUUAACGAAGGACAGAUUAUCCUUGAGUGGAUGAUAGACUACCCAUUUACUCAUUUGCAUGGCAACACCUCUGUUGCUUUGUUCAUUUCUUUUUUCAUAGGGGGACAUUUCAUUGCUAAGCAACAAAUGAGAACUACUGCUGCUUUCUCCCUAAUCAUCUCUUAAGUAGAGUAGAAGCCUACUCCUGAGAGUACUCGCAGUUUCUGCCUUUUACUCCCUCAUUUGACAGAUAAUGAAAAUGUUCUUAAUGAUCCUAGAACAGUAGGGUUUCUAGUAGACUUCAGGGUUGUUAAUUGAAAUAAGAAGUUCAAAUGAGAUGUGAUUAGAGAAUUGAUAUUCCAUGUUAAAUAGACCAUUUAAUUAAUAUGGUAAAUAAGUUUGCCUUUACCACCAACUUACAUUUGGAGACCCUGCUGAUUUUAAUGUAUUUGCCAGUUUGUCAGUAUUUUCAUGUCAGAAAGCAUAACUGUUCCAGAAGUGUCCACCGAGGAAUGACAACACUCAAAACCUAACAACCGUAAAAGAUAUUUUGCCACUGAAAAUGUAUGAAACUCAGAAAACUGCAUUGUAAAAGCUUAUUUAAAAGUUGAUUUCUAUAUAAUAAGAAAAAUACUGAAAUUAGGGUAUUUUCUUCAAUAUAUUAGUGGUCCUGGCUUAGUGCUAGUAGCAGUUACUUCCCCCAGUGACAUAAAACUUUCUAAGAUAUGUCUUUAAAUAGCUUUUUGAUUUGAGUCUUUGUAGUUAUGCUGAGUGAUGCCUUCAGGUUAAAAUGAAUAAGAAUGUGUAUGACACACUUGAAAUGGGGACAUUAAAUUUGCAAAGUACCUAAAAAAUCUUGAGAUUUGUAGUAAAAUUAUAGACUGAUUCAAAACUCAUACUAUGAAUUGUGCUUAAAUAAUAUAUAUACAAAUAAAUGCAGAGAAGCAGAGGUUUCCUAGCAGAAAUGUUGAAGCUACUAGUGUAUUUAAUAUUUACUCUAGUGAUACUCUGUAUUUACCUCAGAUUUUAUUCUGGAUUUUUUUUCUUACUCUGUUUUUAAGUCAAUAUUGGUUUGUACCUUAAGGUGCUUUAUUUAUUGUUUCAACUGUUGAUUUUUGUGUAUUUUUUUCAGUUUAACUGGAGCAUUUGUGUUGCAGCUCUGAGUCACUUGGGUCAUAAUUCAUGCCAUUGAAAGUUAUGAUAAUGCCUUUUAAUUUAGUUUCUUUCUAUAAUUAAGAGAAAGAGGUCCUAAAGGAUUAUUAAAGAUUAAUAAGUUCUUAUUAACAACACCAUUAUAAUAAACCUGUGCUGAUUAGAUCAUCUGAUAGUAAAUCCUGAUAACAUUUACACACAAUUGCAGUUUUGUCAAAUAUUUUAGUGGGAGGAAAGCCAUGUUUAUUUUAGCUUUAUGACAACUGAGAGAGCCCUAAAUCCUUAACUUUGCAUGACAAGUACGUGACAUAUUUAUUCUAGUGAUGGGAGUCUUUCUGGUCUGCUAAAGACAUCCAGAAACGAUUUGGAAAAGUGCUGUUAAAGAACUUUUGAAUAUAGAAAUGGCGUGUAUGGAAGUGAUAAUUUACUUGCCUUUUCAUUCAGAUGUGAAUGUCACAAAGUAGGUUUGUGGGUUUGUUUAUAAGGACUGAGAUCACAGAUGUUUUGAUGAAUUAGCGUGGAUUGGGAUACCUAAUUUUAGCACAUAGGUUCCCACAUUUAGAAUAGGUUAAGUGACUGAAGGUAGGAAUUGAAUAUGUUAAAUGUUGAGAGCAUUCUUUCAACCUUUCCAGUAGUGUAAGAAUGAUGAAAGUGUAAUUUGGGAAUGUCUCAUUAGUUCCCUACUUUGCGAUGAAAGUGAAAUACUGUAAUAUUUUCAGCAAGAUAGAACUUGGUUGUCAAAGCAAGCCAGGAGAGGCACAACUGCAAUUAAAGAAAAUCUGAGGAGCUGAUAACCAGCCUUGCUGGAAUAUAGUAGAUUCAGAUUCAGAUUUCUGGUCUAAAUGAGGAGAAGGAGGAAUUCGAACCUUUCCACCAUAACAUAACAGCUUCCUUGGAAUUUCGAAGUUAGUUGUAUGGGAAUACUAUUUUGUGCUUACUUGUAAUCUCUUACAUGAUGUAGCAGUGUUACAACUUAUGUUGUCAGAAGGAAUGCUGAUUACUGUGAGGGCAGUUUUCCUGAAAGCUCUGUGACUUUGUAGCAUAUUAGUUUGUGUCAAAAGUAAUCUUGUCCAUAUGGAUGCAAUUCCAGAGAUGGUUUUGUUAAUGAGGUAAGAUAUACCAUGUGACUCCUCAGUGUUUGACUAAAUGUAGACAAGGAAAUUUUGCACUGGCUUGCAAGUCCUAUUUCAAGUUGUACAUGUAUUGCUCUCUGUACACCAUCCUGUUGCCCUGAGUUCCUGUUGAUCUAGAUUGUUUCCAGUCAUUAAGUUGUGCUGCACAGUUUCUUGAGGCUUCUUGCUCAUGGAAUCAGCUACACUUCACUACAUUUGACAUUUCAGUAAUACAUCUGCAUUUCAUUAACUCACUGGGCCUUGUGUGUACAUCUAGAACCACAGAGAGGACCUGGAUUUAUUCACCAUCCAAGGAGAUGAGAGCUCAGGACAAACACCAUCAUAAUAAGGAUGCAUGCCAGGCCAUUGCUAAGUGGAAAGGCUGUGUGAAAUCACUUUGAGACCCCUAGUAGUGUUGGGUCAAGAGAAAAUUAGCAGUUAGUAGGAAAUUAGUGCCAGAAAACAAAUACUAUUGUUAGCUUUCCAUCAUUUUAUGUUGGAUAACGAAUGUGAAGGAACAUGAGGCUGCUGAAGACUGGAAUGGUGAUUCAGAUACCAUCUGCAAUCUCCUUGCAAUGGAGGAGCUGACGACAAUUUGAGGAUGUCUACAAGAAUCAUGAACUGAAAACUUUGGAAAGGAAGGUCUUACUCUUGCUCUUCAAGUAGUUAGAGACUGAUAGAAUCAUCCUUGCUGUCUUCUGGCUUACCAUGAAAGAAAUACUGGAAAACCUCCCAGGAUGGAGUGUUCAAGAAUAUGAGGGGUUUUUGCAGUUUGAAAGCUGAAAAGAUGUCUUUAUUUGCUACCUUUGUAUGCUCUUGAGCUGUUCUGAUAACUUUGGCAUUACACUUUGUAAUAAACUUCUACCAUUUUACUUUUCUUUGUUUAAAUAAAUGCAUUUUUUGAGGAA